AUGAACGCUAGCUACAGGCUUAACACAUGCAAGUCGAGGGGCAGCAUGGUCUUAGCUUGCUAAGGCCGAUGGCGACCGGCGCACGGGUGAGUAACACGUAUCCAACCUGCCGUCUACUCUUGGACAGCCUUCUGAAAGGAAGAUUAAUACAAGAUGGCAUCAUGAGUCCGCAUGUUCACAUGAUUAAAGGUAUUCCGGUAGACGAUGGGGAUGCGUUCCAUUAGAUAGUAGGCGGGGUAACGGCCCACCUAGUCUUCGAUGGAUAGGGGUUCUGAGAGGAAGGUCCCCCACAUUGGAACUGAGACACGGUCCAAACUCCUACGGGAGGCAGCAGUGAGGAAUAUUGGUCAAUGGGCGAGAGCCUGAACCAGCCAAGUAGCGUGAAGGAUGACUGCCCUAUGGGUUGUAAACUUCUUUUAUAAAGGAAUAAAGUCGGGUAUGGAUACCCGUUUGCAUGUACUUUAUGAAUAAGGAUCGGCUAACUCCGUGCCAGCAGCCGCGGUAAUACGGAGGAUCCGAGCGUUAUCCGGAUUUAUUGGGUUUAAAGGGAGCGUAGAUGGAUGUUUAAGUCAGUUGUGAAAGUUUGCGGCUCAACCGUAAAAUUGCAGUUGAUACUGGAUAUCUUGAGUGCAGUUGAGGCAGGCGGAAUUCGUGGUGUAGCGGUGAAAUGCUUAGAUAUCACGAAGAACUCCGAUUGCGAAGGCAGCCUGCUAAGCUGCAACUGACAUUGAGGCUCGAAAGUGUGGGUAUCAAACAGGAUUAGAUACCCUGGUAGUCCACACGGUAAACGAUGAAUACUCGCUGUUUGCGAUAUACGGCAAGCGGCCAAGCGAAAGCGUUAAGUAUUCCACCUGGGGAGUACGCGGGCAACGGUGAAACUCAAAGGAAUUGACGGGGGCCCGCACAAGCGGAGGAACAUGUGGUUUAAUUCGAUGAUACGCGAGGAACCUUACCCGGGCUUAAAUUGCAGAUGAAUUACGGUGAAAGCCGUAAGCCGCAAGGCAUCUGUGAAGGUGCUGCAUGGUUGUCGUCAGCUCGUGCCGUGAGGUGUCGGCUUAAGUGCCAUAACGAGCGCAACCCUUGUUGUCAGUUACUAACAGGUUCUGCUGAGGACUCUGACAAGACUGCCAUCGUAAGAUGUGAGGAAGGUGGGGAUGACGUCAAAUCAGCACGGCCCUUACGUCCGGGGCUACACACGUGUUACAAUGGGGGGUACAGAGGGCCGCUACCACGCGAGUGGAUGCCAAUCCCCAAAACCUCUCUCAGUUCGGACUGGAGUCUGCAACCCGACUCCACGAAGCUGGAUUCGCUAGUAAUCGCGCAUCAGCCACGGCGCGGUGAAUACGUUCCCGGGCCUUGUACACACCGCCCGUCAAGCCAUGGGAGCCGGGGGUACCUGAAGUGCGUAACCGCGAGGAGCGCCCUAGGGUAAAACUGGUGACUGGGGCU
rnacentral:rRNA from 1 species